rnacentral:lncRNA from 1 species
GUGUUACCGAAGGAGAUUAACAUUUGAGUCAGUGGGUUGGGAAAGGCAGGCCUACCCUUAAUCUGGGUGGGCACAAUCUAAUCAGCUGCCAGCAUGGCUAGAAUAAAAGCAAGCAGAAAAACGUGUAAAGAGAGACUGGCCUAGCCUCCCAGCCUACAUCUUUCUCCUGUGCUGGAUGCUUCCUGCCCUCGAACACUGGACUCUAGGUUCUUUGGUUUUGGAACUUGGACUGGCUCUCCUUGCUCCUCAGCCUGCAAACAGCCUAUUGUGGGACCUUAUGAUCACAUCAGAAUGCUCAUAUUGAUAAGUGGUAAUUCAAGAGGACAUUUGGCUUCUGGAUGUCAAAAGCUGCAAAAGGAACAUAUUUUGAAGUGCUUUCAAAAUGUUAGUAAUGAAACUCUCUGCCUUUCACCUUCAGCUUGCCACGAAGCCAACUGUAUUAUUCCAACUAACCAACUUCCUACAAGUCUUCACAGCUCACCCACACCCUCAACAAUCAUAAGAACACAACAGAAUAAACAGGAUUCCCAGGAGUGACUUGGUUCUGAAUGACUUGGAAGUCAAAAGGAAGAGUCCGUUUCUCCAGUAACAAAAGUAUGCCUGACAAGAGGCUCUAAGCUGUCCUGGAUGCCAAUCUUUGUGCCGACUACUUUACAGUGAUUGAUUGCUCAUACUUCACGGCAACCCUGUGGAAUAGAUAACAUCAUCAUCCCCCUUUUACUGAGGUGUGGGGAAGUUACCUCUAUUGCCCAUGAUCAUAGUUUAGCUGGCGCUGCUUUAUAAAAGAAUGAAUGAAUAAAUUAAUGAAUGAAUAAGUGUGUUGAGAUUAAUUUCUCAGACAUGGUCUAAAUGGACUCACUUCUCUCUAGUGAGUAUUGUUACCUCUUCAUGAUAAGAUGAAUCAUAGAACUGCCACAUUCUGAAAAGAGCAUGUGAGAAACCAUUCCUUCUUUCUCUGCCCCUCACUCCUUCCAAGUUGCAAGUGUCAGCACCUUUGCUUCAUUUGUGCUGUGCUUUGCAAGCACUCAGGGAGGAAAGGCUGGAGCAGGGAUUUUCCCACAAUCAGACCCUAAAGGCAACUAGAAAAUGCUCCCCACCCUUUUCUUUUUUUUUUUUUCAGGGAACCAGACUGACUGAUAUGAAUGAUGUUUGUUCAGGAAAAGUACUUAAGGAGACAAAAAGUGAUAUAGUUUUUGAAGGAGAGAUGUCUAGGGAGAGAGGGUAGGAAAUUCAGAGGAACUUCUUUUAGCCCUUAGAACAUUACCAGAGUUUUUGUUUGGGCUUUAUUUGUGCAUAUGCUUAUUUGUUUUUUGAGGUUUUUUGUUUGUUUGUUUUGCUUUUUUGAGACAGGGUCUCACUCUGUUGCCCAGACUGGAGUGCAGUGGCACAGUCAUGGCUCACUGCAGCCUCCCGGGCUCAAACAAUCCUCCCACCUCAGAAUCCUGGGUAUCUGAGACCACAGGGAUGUGCCACCAUGCCCAGAUAAUUUUAUUUUUUGUAGAGACCGGGUUUUGUCAUGUUGCCCAGGCUAGUCUUGAACUCCUGGGCUCAAAUGAUACUCUUUCUUAGCCUCAAAGGUGCUGGGAUUACAGGCAUGAGCCACCAGGACCAGCCUGCUUUUUAUUCCCAAAAGGCAGAAUCCAGUGUCUAAGACCUCACACGCUCUAAUUAAGUAAGUGCCAGAAAAGGGCAUUCCUUCCACCUGCACUCAGUAAGCUUUGCUAAGGUUGGUGCUUAAAGAAGACAUGAAAUCAUACUGGGUAGGAGGAUGGGAAGAGAAAUUCAUUACACAAAUGGCUAAUUAUGUAGGAAAUGCAAUGGAGCAAAACUAUCCACCCCCAAACUGGAUCAUGCAUGAUCUUUUGAGGUUAACGAAAGAAAUGCCAUGGCAGAAAUGAUGAAAAUCUGUAAGAAUAAAGUUCUUGAAGCCAAUCUUGUCAUUCUUGCUGCUUUCAUCUCCUUGAAAUUCGGCUUAUUAUUACUAGAAAAAUAUACCACAAGAUGAAGUUAUGUUCCAAAAAGAAAAAAAAAGCAUUGCCUAGAGCAGGAAUAUUAUUUUCCUUUAUGAUAUUUUACAUAUAUGUAGUUAAGUCAGCCCAGCAAUUAAUUAGAUCCAUGCAAAUGUUUGCCCUGUCCUUGUUAAAAGAUGACUGUGAUUUGGUUUUAAAUAUAUUUGUGUAAAAAUAUGUUUUCAUCUUUAACUGUUUAUUUGGAUGGGCUGCUGUGAGCAUCUAGUACACUCCAUGAUUUCCAUUGUGAUGGUGUUAUUACAUAUUGCACAACAAGCAGGUGUUGGUGAUAAUAACAUACUUGAAAGAACACCUAUAGUCUCACAGCAGGCAAGAAUUUGCAAUAGCACUGUAGGAAUAAAUAAGGAAGCCAAGAUGGUAGUUGCUAUCAACACUUGGAUUUGAACACUUGGGUUAAUG